UAUCUUCAUACCAUUGUUUCGGCCGAAGAAAUCCUGACGUAGAUACAGCCUGAUGUGUUGUAUCUUGUCUGUGUUUGAGUUGUUCAGGUACACAGUCCAUGUUUGGU